rnacentral:pre_miRNA from 1 species
ACUCUAACUUUAGCAUCUUUCUUUUAAGCAGAGCAGAAAGUGCUAUCAAGUUGGGGUAG